GACGAACGCUGGCGGCGUGCUUAACACAUGCAAGUCGAACGGAAAGGCCCUGCUUUUGUGGGGUGCUCGAGUGGCGAACGGGUGAGUAACACGUGAGUAACCUGCCCUUGACUUUGGGAUAACUUCAGGAAACUGGGGCUAAUACCGGAUAGGAGCUCCUGCUGCAUGGUGGGGGUUGGAAAGUUUCGGCGGUUGGGGAUGGACUCGCGGCUUAUCAGCUUGUUGGUGGGGUAGUGGCUUACGAAGGCUUUGACGGGUAGCCGGCCUGAGAGGGUGACCGGCCACAUUGGGACUGAGAGACGGCCCAGAAUCCUACGGGAGGCAGCAGUGGGGAAUAUUGCACAAUGGGCGGAAGCCUGAUGCAGCAACGCCGCGUGCGGGAUGACGGCCUUCGGGUUGUAAACCGCUGUCUCCGGUGACGAAGCGUGAGUGACGGUAAUUGGUAAAGAAGCACCGGCUAACUACGUG
rnacentral:rRNA from 1 species